rnacentral:rRNA from 1 species
GAUUUCUGGCUUGAAACAUUUUGCCGGCCACGGUUUCGUGUGUUAGUGCUUGAUGUUCUGGCCAUCCUUCCAAUCGCUAUCGGCUUAUCUUCAUUGAUCGGUCGGUGGUAUUGGAUCUUUUACUUUGAAAAAAUUAGAGUGUUUCAAGCAGGCUUUAUGCUAUGAAUACAUUAGCAUGGAAUAAUAAUUUAGGACUUCGGUUCUAUUUUGUUGGUUUCUAGGACUGAAGUAAUGAUUGAUAGGGAUAGUUGGGGGUGCUAGUAUUCAGCGGCCAGAGGUGAAAUUCUCGGAUUCGCUGAAGACUAACUUAUGCGAAAGCAUU